rnacentral:lncRNA from 1 species
AUGCCUGUCUCUCUCAUAACCUUUCUUCUCUGAAAUUUUCUCUAGAACAUUCGAUCCUCUCUCUUCUCCGAUGGCUUUCCUUGCUGUUCCGGCCACCUCCAACCUCACUACUCUCGACCACCACUCAUCAUGGUACUAUAUCUCGUUGUUUCUCUCUCAAACUCGAAGCCUAGAGGCUUCCUCCAUAAAAGACGGUCGAUUGAGACUCGCUUGAGUCUUUGUUGGCCUUUCUCUGAUGAUAUUCACACGAUAAUGCUCUCCAUGGCGUUAUUAAUGGGGUUUCACGGUCAGGUUCCUCUUUUCUUUAACUCGUCUGCAAACCCUAGUUUUUUUCUACUCAAAUCUCUUUAAUUUUCGGUUUUGAAAAUGAUUUUUAGUUUGAUUCUUUGUUUUCUACUCUCAGUCUCUGAUUAUCUUAAGUUUUUCUACUAUUUCUCUAGGGUUUCUGACCCUUUUGUCCAAAUCGCUUCUUCUGCUUUUUCUGAGUAUUAUAUGUUUAUACUUGUUUGUUUUGCGAGUGUUUGGGUUCUUUAUUAGCCUGAGUUCCAUGCCUUAUUUCUCUGACUAGGGUUUCGACCCUUUGUUUACCUGCUUAGGGUUCUCUUAAAUCCAUGUCUGUUAUGCUUUAUAGGCCUGAGUGGUCAUUGUUUGUGCAAUAUCAUGCUGAUUCUGAGCAUCUCUGUGAAUCCUUGACUGGUCUCUGAUUGUACUUAGACGAUUUUAUUUCUUUUGAAUUAUUUUUUUUCCUUACUUGGGUAUGUCUUCCUUACUUAGAAACAAUUCUCUCUGAUUUUUAGGCCUAAUUCGAGAUUCUUUGAUUAAUUGGUAGAAUUAGCUCAUAUUUUCUUACCAUAUUUGUGCACAAACAUCCGUCUGAAUCUUUAGCCUAUAUUUUCCUUACCGAAGCUGCUAUGUAUCUGACCUUUAUUGAAUACUAUAUGCUUGUUACUUUCACUAGGCUAAAUGUAGUUAAUUGACUCUUUUCGUUUUUGAAACCUAUCCUUGUUACCGUUUUUCUUUGACUCCUUAGUUAAAGGGGAGUCCUGAUACUAAUUGGACUCUUAAUUGAUACUAGUCCCUUGAUUAAAGAUUGCUGCUUGUUUCUGCGCUCGUUUUCCAGUACAAUGAAUACUCCUCCCCAUUCUCUUUAAAACACGAACACACACUGCAUCUCUCUCGUAAUUUCAAACUCUCUGAAUUCUCUCUUUCACUUUCCCUGCUAUCUCUAUACUCUCUCAUUCUCUUAUUUGAAUACUCAACCGGCUGAAAGCCAAGAUUGAGUAGUCUGGGCUGUUUAUCUCUACACUACUAGGUUCUACUGCUCACACUCUCUGCACGCCCUGCUCUGCCUGUGCACUCUUGCUCAUUGCUCUUUGUGUUCUAUUUGUCUGCAACUGGUAUGUUAUCUAUUUAGUAUACAGUCCCCAAAACUAUAUGCUUUUGUUAGUCCUGCACUUCAUAUUGUUCCUAGUGUGCUUCUAUAUGUGGUCCUGCUGUUCCUAUUUUCACUAGUAUGCACUCACUAGCCUACUUAGUUUAAGCUUAGCAUGCUCCCUUUAUCCAUUCCCCUUCUCCAUGUAUGUUUACUUUCCUUGUGUAUUACCACCAUGUGUCCUGGGCUGCUUCGCUACUUGAUUAGCCUAAAAACCUCUUCUUGAGGUUAAGUAUUUGGGGUUUGGUGCAGUAAGAACUGAAACCCCUUGUUUGUUGCAACUGUGUUUGAUUACCUGCCUUCAUUAUGUUUGUCUGUGUGUGAGUAGGUCCCUGUACUUAUCUGUUCCCUCCUCCUUUUCCCCUGUUUGUGUGAUACUCUGUGUUAAACUGGUUAGUACCAAUGAUUUCAAAAGAAUUCCUUUCAACUUUCUCAACUCUCUUAAACU